rnacentral:rRNA from 1 species
UACGUAGGGCGCAAGCGUUGUCCGGAAUUAUUGGGCGUAAAGAGCUCGUAGGCGGUCUGUUGCGUCCGCUGUGAAAACUCGGGGCUUAACCCCGAGCCUGCAGUGGAUACGGGCAGACUAGAGGUAGGUAGGGGAGAAUGGAAUUCCCGGUGUAGCGGUGAAAUGCGCAGAUAUCGGGAGGAACACCGGUGGCGAAGGCAGGUCUCUGGGCCGCAACUGACGCUGAGGAGCGAAAGCAUGGGGAGCGAACAGG